AUACUGGAAAUCAUAUAUGAUACUUAAGAAGGAAAAUGAAAUAUGCAUGUCCAAAUGGUUGCAACAACAAAAAAUGAAGCGUGUCUGUAAAAUAGCUACCAAGCUCUAAUAGCUAUAGUUAGAAGGAAUAACUCAAAUGGAUAGUUAAUCAUUGGUAAGCACAGAGUGAACAAAAUAUAAAUUUAAUAUAUACAUGUAUAUGGUAAAAUAUACAUGUAUGACUGUUAUUUGACAACCAUAUAACCUACAACAAUGAGCCAAACCAAGCACAUUAGCAUCUAUAUAAAGACAUCAAAAGUGCAGAACAAUUCAAAAGAAAACUGAUGUCCUGAUUGUUUUGUACAAGAUAAAAAAUACAACCACUGAAGUCAUAAUAUAUGAACAUUUUGUAUGUUAUUGCGGUUUCAUUACCAUUAAUUAUAAAACAAAACAAAACAUUCUGACAACUUGUUUUUGAGAGCUUCACCUUGACUGAAUUUCAGUGUUAAACAAAACUCAAUUAUUGAUAACAGUUGUUGAAUCUUAAAUUAUUACUGAGUGAAGAUUUCAAAUAUUGACUCAUGUUAUAAGGGACAUAACUCUCAUACAAUAUGAAAAAUAUCUGUCAUGAAAACAUUUUCCAUUAAAUACAAAUUAACAUUUUUUUUUAUUUUCAGAAUUCAACAUUAGAAAAUUGUUACUCAAGUUUGAUUUGUUUCCUUGUUGGCAUACCAACAACCUCACCAGCUGAUAAUCAAGUUGUUCAAGUGAUUUUAAACAACAGAACUGUUUGCUUUUCAGGCUACAUUUUAUGACUCUAAAAUUGAAUAAUUAUACAAAUGUAUACUAAUACAGUACUGAAAUCUUUGAAAAGGGG
rnacentral:lncRNA from 1 species